rfam:Oryza meridionalis cultivar OR44 (W2112) chromosome 6, whole genome shotgun sequence.
AAAGACUUAAUUCCUAGGUUUUGAUGUUUAACGUUUGACUAUCCGUUUUAUAUGAAAUUUUUUUAUGAUUAGUAUUUUCUUUAUUGUUAGAUGAUAAAACAUGAAUAAUACUUAACGCAUGACUUGUCUUUUUAAAUUUUUCAUAACAUUUUCAAAUAAGACGAACGGUCAAACGUUAAACACGGAAACUCAGGAAUUGAGUUUUU